rnacentral:rRNA from 1 species
CAUAAUCUUAUCUAAUCUCAGAAACAAAGUAGGAUUGGGUUUGUUCAGUAAUUGGAUGGGAGACCACUUGGAAAUGCCAGCCGAGAUUGAGA